ACCUACUGUUUAAUUUUGAGGGUUCGUUUUUACGAAUACUCAAAAUUAGCACUUUAAGCAACGGGAUUUAUCCGUUGGCGCCGUGCUUUAGCACUUUUAGCAACAGAAUAAACUGAACGCAUGUGAAGUUUGUUUGUUGGCGCUGUGCGUUAGCACUUUAAGCAACGGAAUUUAUUCGUUGGCGCUGUGUGUUAGCACUUUGAAAACUGCAUAUAUAUUUAGUGAUAUGACAUCUAAUUUGUAAUAUAUAAAGCUGAUAACUUUUUAAAAUUAUCGAAGUUGAUAGCUUCUAAUCUAUCAAACCUUUUUAACUGGUCAA
rnacentral:misc_RNA from 1 species